UUUUUUUUUUUUUUUUUUUUUUUUUACAAAAUCAAAAGUCUUCCUUCAAGGCACUUACCACCAUUACUAAAAAUUCAAACUACUGUAGAAUAUAUACCUACACAUAAAUAUGUAUGUGUAUGUACGUAUAUGUAUAUAUGCAUAUGUACAUAUACAUCAUUUUCCAAGGAAAAUAAGUUCAUUUCAUUUAGUUAACUUUGUUCAAGAUAAGUAAACUGAAGGAAAGGGGGAAACCUGAGGCAUUUUGAUCCUGCCUUACAUCCUUACUUCACACUUUAAGUGAGACCUCAGAGAAACACAUGGUGUUGGAGCUUGAAAUUCCUUCAAUAUCAAUUGCAAUCUCCUUUCACCACUGAGGAAACCAGACCCCAGAAAAGUAAAGUGAUUUCCCCAAACCACACAAAUGGCAGAAGCAUUGUGAAAACAUACAUAUAUUCUAAUAAGACAACAGCUGGGAGACAUAGGGUUAUGAAAUAUUGGGGAGGGAGAGAUACCAGUCAGCCUCUCACCUGGAAGAAAGUUCCUUAAAACCCUCAAGAUGUAAAGUUCUCAAUUCAAUAAUCUUUGGACCUGACCAUGACAUAGCAAGUAAGUGCCAGAAGCAAUGCUGGGCAGGGGUCAAUGAGCAGAGUGUGGGUGUGUGAGUGUGUGUGUGUGUAAUAUAUGUGGUAUGGGAGAGUACGUGGGGGGGUGUUGUAUGGCUUGUGUGUGUAUAUGGUAUGGGAUAUGUGUGUGGAUGUGUGAGUAUGUGUAUGUGUGGUGUGUGUGUGGUGGGGGGCACAGCCGGGAAAGGGGAGCUCUGCCCCAUGAAUGCGGUCAUGAAGGGCAUGCCUUACUCCAACUUCCUCCUGUUCUUCUCUUCCUACCUUCUUACUCUCGUUACAAUUUUUCUUCUUUCUUCUCCUCUUAUCCUAUCAGGUAUCUAAACUGCUCCUCUAGGUUCCCUGCCUGCACGUGGUCCAUCACAGUCCAGGGACUUUAGUAACUCCAACACCUAAAUCAGAUCAAUGGUUAAGUGAUAUAAUUCAUGACAGGAUGGCCUAAUGUUUCAAAGAUGUCAUCAGUCUCAAAAAAAAAAAGGUGGGGGAGGACAGGAUCAUUACAACAUAUGAUAUGAAACCACUCAGUUAAUCAGAAAUAAUUUUGGAAAAUCCACUCUAAUACGGUAUCCUCAUCAAUUGUAGAAAACAGCAGUGGCAAGAGGCCAUAGCGCACACUGAAAUCACUUGCUCCGAGGUUGCAAGAGGUUGCACUCUAGAGCUCACAGAGAGCCCUGAGGGGGCGGGGGGGGAGGGGAGGAAGGGGAGGGAGAGAUCUCAUUCACUGAAGAUCGCCUUUGCACCUGUGACAAGAUGGAUGCUUUACUCUGCAACCCCAAUGUUCAUCAGGAGUGAAACAGCACAAAUUCCUCUAUCCCAUAAAAGCACUGCUUAUUAUACACAUCAAAUUAACAAAAUGGUUUAAAGGUAUCUGAUGUUAAAAGAAUUUCAGUCACAAAAUUUCAAUUUUUUCUAUUUUAUUACAGAAGAGUUUAAAGUUGUUGACUUUAAAAAAAAAAUGCACAACCUGAAAGUUGAAAGUUAAGUUUUAUUUGGGGUGAAAUUAGGACUUAAGCCAGGGAGACAGCAUCUCAGGUAGCCCUGAGAAACCAUUCCAAGGAGGUGAGGGAGGGGCUAAGAUAUAUAGGAGUUUUUGCAACUAAGGGCAGGGAGCAGGAAAAAAAGAGGCUGGGCUCACUGAAGUCAUUCCUUAAUUUGCACCUCAGCUAUCAGGCCAGUAUCCUGAGUUUUUACAGCCUACAGGACUCACAGGCUCUCACCCUUGGUGGUGACUGCAUUCACAAAUGACCAUGACAUUCUUUGUUUUAUCCCUAACUAGAGAUCAGACAGAAGUAUUUCAGAGAGCUCUGAAAUACGGCCCCAAAGAGGAAAGGGGGAAAUCAGGAUAUGAUAAAAGUGAGGGGGAGGCACAAGCAGUCAUGCACACAUUUUACAAAAGGUUGUUGCUGAUCUCCUGAAGGUCACAAGGAGCAGACAUCACCAUGAAGGAUUUUAGCGCUUUUCUAGUUAUGAGGAGAUGAAAGAAUUGGGCACAUAAAAUUUUUUCCUAAAAAUAUCUGGCUAUCUGAAGACCUGUUCCUCCUGUUUUCCCAGAGCACAGGAGUGCUUCACUCCUGAUUUUCACACUGAACUCCUCUCAGGGGGUGCUGUGGGUUGGCAGCUGAAGUGGUUCAUGAUUUAAUCCAUGUAGGAGCUGGUGGCAAGUGCCAAACUUCAGUUCACGAAGUGUAUAAACAGGUUGCAACUUAAAGAAAGAUUAGGUUCUGUCACUAGCCUACAAGUUUUCAGAGAAAAAAAUGAUGCCUCAAAACCAAUCGCAUCUAGGAUAUAAAUUUAUUUAUCAAAUCUGUAUAUUGAGAAUAUACUCCUGUGUUAAUGUUUCUGCACGCAAUAUAUUUUUUCACUUUAGUCCAAAAAUUUCCAUGAGGUCAUUAUAUCCUACUUAUAUUUCUCAAUAUCAUUCUAGAAAUGACAGAUAUUGAAAUGAAAGAGAGAGAGAAGGUAGGAGUAGAUAGAUAAUAGAUAAUAGAUAAUAGAUAGAUAAUCUUAGGCGUGAAGGAGAGGCAAAGGAGCAGGGUUUUUUUAAUUAAAGGUGAACUAAAUGUUUUUAUUUGAAAAAAUAGAUAUUAGUCAUAUUCUUAGAUUUUUUUUUUUUUCUUUUUAUGGCUGUACCUGCAGCAUAUGGAAGUUACCUGGCCAGGAACUGAAUCCAAGCCUCAGCUGCAACAUAUACUACAACCCAAAUCACUGCAGUUGGAUUCUAAACCCACUGCGUGCUACAGGGGGAACUCCAUAGCCUUAGACUUCUGAUCUACAUAUCACUUAAAUGUAAUAUCUAUGUGAUGGAAGAAAUUUUCAUAUACUGAGGAGUGGGAACAUCAUUCUGCUUAUACAUGAUUUGGCUUGAAUAUUAUGCUAACUGGAACAGCCUGUGCUGUGGUCUGCCUAACAUGCAUUCUACAUCUGCUUUAACCAUAAAAAAAAUAGUGCAUUUGAUGCAGGUGCCUCAUACCCCUGAGAGAAAAGUUGUAUUCCUUACACUUCCUUUUGAAGUGAAUACUUUGAAAUUGAAUAGCUUAGAGUCCUUCCU
rnacentral:lncRNA from 1 species